AGGACCUGUGAUGGUGGCGAGGGUCAGACACAGCCCAGGGAUCUCUCACCAGGGCUGCAGUGCCAGCUCUGGAUCACAAAGAAAUGGACAUAUGUGAUAAUAUGAAGGGGACAGAAAGCAAGGAUCCUGCCCCUCGAUGGGGGAAUGUUGGGAGGCAGUGCUGAGGCUCCGCCAGCCCUGCCAGCAGCAGCCAAAGCCCUGGGCUGUCACCAGCUCCUUUCCAGCUGCCCGGGCAACGCACAGCACCAUGAGGGCUGCUGUGGGAAAACACA